GCCUGGGUAGCUCAGUUGGUUAGAGCAUGAUGCUGAUAAUGCCAGUUGCAGGUUCAAUCCCCGCAUAGGACA